rnacentral:rRNA from 1 species
CCUACGGGGGGCUGCAGUGGGGAAUAUUGCGCAAUGAGCGAAAGCCUGACGCAGCGACGCAGCGUGAGGGAUGAAGGUCUUCGGAUCGUAAACCUCUGUCAGCAGGGAAGAACGGUCACUGUGCUAAUCAGCAGUGAAUUGACGGUACCUGCAAAGGAAGCACCGGCUAACUCCGUGCCAGCAGCCGCGGUAAUACGGAGGGUGUGAGCGUUAAUCGGAAUUACUGGGCGUAAAGCGCUCGUAGGCGGUAUGUGAAGUCAAGGGUGAAAUCCCCGCGCUCAACGUGGGCACUGACUUGGAUACUGGCAAACUGGAGUGUGUGAGAGGAUAGCGGAAUUCCAGGUGGAGGAGUGAAAUCCGUAGAUAUCUGGAGGAACAGCAGUGGCGAAGGCGACUAUCUGGCACAUAACUGACGCUGAGGAGCGAAAGCGUGGGUAGCAAACAGGAUUAGAUACCCGGGUAGUC